UUGGGUUGUGCCAAAUCAAUGUCUAGUUCUGGUUAUCUUCCAACCCUAAUUCCAAUUCAAAUCCAAUUAAUCAAAUUGGCCGAGAUUCGAAGGUAAUAUUAUUCAAAGCCAAUUCAAACCCUACUGCAGAUUAUACAUCUCUCUAUAGACGCAGCCGGCUCUCGGAAACCCUACCAAGAACACUACUGCCAGGACCCUUAGCAGCCUCCGGGAGAGAGAGAGAGAGAGAGAGAGAGGAAGGAUGCAGCGAGCGACGGCGAUCGCGUCCUUCGCCCUGCGACGUCUAGCGGCAGCGGAGGCGGCCCGGCCGAUGUUCCUCGCGCGAGCAGCCUCGUUGGCCGGUCCGGCCCUCUCCCGGUGCCUUUUCUCAUCACACGACCUUCACCGCCCGAUCGCGCGCCUCCUGCCGCCUGUUUACGAGCCCUCACGUGGCUUCGCGCGGGGCCGGGAGGCCAUCCCGAGCGACUUCGAGGAAGAGGAUUCGGACGACGAGGAGGACCUGGACGAUCUCGACGAGGACUUUGACGGCGAGAACGAUAUUGAUGAGGAUUGGAGCGAGUUCGACGGCAACGAUUCGAGGGAUGAGUCCGAUUGAUUCCCAGCGUACAUUAGACCGUUUGCUUAAAUGAGCUGAUAGGCUGAUGGUGUGGCCUCCGGAGAAAUCAUUAGGAAUCAUUACUUUCUCUGUGCGGUUAUUGAUCACAAAAAACCAAAAAAGAGACUCUUUUACGCUGAUUGAUCGAUAAAUCUAUAUGUUCUGUUUCUUGUAUUGGUAGAUGAAUUGAUAUCUCUGUUUGCACUUAAUGAACUAUUAGUUCUGUAGCUUUUGAUUGCAGUAUGUCUCCUCAUAGCCUUAUACUCUGUUGUUUGAUCUUUUUAAGUAUAACUGUACAAAAUGGUCAUUAGUUGUUAACACUCACUAAAUGUUGCUUUAAGUCUAAAUUCUCUAGUCACAGUUAUCAUGUAAAGUAUCUAAUCUGAGAUAAGAAAAGGAAAUGAAUGCAGUAAAUGUUGUUUAAAUUUUAGUCAGUCUGCUCCAUUAAACUGUCUUUAAGCUAGUGUGAGACGUUGUAUUGCUUUCCUGUUUCAUAAAUUUAUGGACUUUUGGUUCCCAGGCAAAUUAUUUUUCUGAUGGCUCUGCUCUGUAUCCCCAUAGAGUAUAUUUGCAUGUUUUACAGGAACUAGUUUUUGUGGCACGAAGCAAGGAGAUCAAGUUGCUUGGUGCAUCGAUUAGCAUAAUCCAAGCAAAUAUUCAGCUGAUCAAAAGAACAAAUACCAAGGAAACUUUACAUGUAUCAUCUUUCAGACAUGCAGUUCCAUCUUUAGCCAUGAAACUGAACUUUCCACUCCACCAAUGGGUUUCAUCACAGACAGCAGGGCUCUCAUUCUGUCUCAAGAUGCCCAAGUCAAGCCAUGUGACUUGUUCCACAUUGUUCAUUGGCUGUCGAACUUGUACAACACUUGCUUGCAAGCCCUUGCAUUGCCUCCCUCCCAACAGAGCUCGAGCAAGAAUGAGCUAAAGAACAACUCCAGCUAAUUCUUGCAGGCGACUACUCCCGAUGGCUUGUGUCACAAUCACAUUCCUGUCAUGCCCUUGGAUUGCUGAUGAUUCCGCCGCAAUGCCCGGAGCCACUGGUACGUCUCUCACCAGUCCUUGUUGAGGACAUCUCACAGCCCUGCUGUCAAAGGCAGCAGCCAGGCUCAUAUGUCCAUGUCCACCAACUCACACGGAUGGGCAUUGGAGAAACACAUGGCAUCUAAAGCUAAUCAGCUCCAGGCUUCUUUUAAGUAUUGUUUGGUGGUUGGAGGAUGAGGACACCAUCAGCAUCCACAGGUUUGGCUCUCUUCGAGUGAUGGGAACUUGAAUUAUAAGGGAUUUCUACUUUCUUUCACAUGAAUCAUUAUUCCUUUGCUUGUUGUUGAGAUUGUAACAUUCAAAAGUUAAUUGUCAUGCCGGAUUUUACAACAAGAUUUAAAUUAUUGUAUAUAAAAUAAAAUAUUCUGAGUUUCAUGAUUUAAA